rnacentral:rRNA from 1 species
UGAAGCAGAGGACAGUGGCGGACGGGUGAGUAACGCGUGAGCAACCUGCCUUUAUCAGGGGGAUAACGCAUCGAAAGAUGUGCUAAUACCGCGUAAGACCACAGCCUCACAUGGGGCAGAGGUCAAAGGAGCAAUCCGGAUAAAGAUGGGCUCGCGUCCGAUUAGCUAGUUGGUGAGAUAACAGCCCACCAAGGCGACGAUCAGUAGCCGGACUGAGAGGUUGACCGGCCACAUUGGGACUGAGAUACGGCCCAGACUCC